rnacentral:misc_RNA from 1 species
GGACAGGGCAUUUCAGGGUAAUUUGUGGUUUCUAACAAUUUCCAGGGUAAAAGGGUAUGAUGCCGGUUAAAAUUAUACCAUUAAUGCAGCCGUAACGGCCUGAUAAGACAAUCUGUGAAAAAUAAAAGCAAUUUAAAACGUUAAGCAAUCAAUAACCUGUACAGGGUUUAGUCGGCUGAAAUGGUCCCCCCUCACCACCCCGGUAGUCAUGGCAUUGAAUACGUCAAACAUUGAAUUAUUU